GCUCGUCCUCUGUCCUGCGCCGGCUGGAGUCACGCCUCAGUACCGAGGCUGCGGUUCGCCGUGGCUCCCGCACAGAGUGCAGGGGGCUCCCCAGAGCAAGGGGCGAGGACGAGAGCGCCGGAGGGGCCUGCAGCCGGCUUGCCCGCUCCCCGCCGGGACAGCCGCGCCCUGCGGGCCUGCACACCGCCCUGGUGUCAUCUUGUCGCCUCCAGGCCCUUGACCAGCACUUGCCAGGGCCUCAAGUGGUAGCUGGGUUAGCCGGCGUCAGUGGAGGCUUCCUGUGGUUUUCCUGCGUUUAAACGUCUUUGUCAUCACUCUGCACUCCGCCCACUGAAACCCUUGAGGCAUGGAAGAACAUUCCAGCAGUAAAUCCGGAGUCAACCUCAUCUGAGAAGAUGUGACUCCUGCUGAUUUCAAAGCCGAGGUUGGGCACCGAGGAGGAGAUUUACCGUUUAUCAUCGGAGGACAAAAAUAUGACCUUCCUUCCUUCCUUCCUUCCUUCCUCACUUUUCUAGAAAUAAAAGGAAGAUUCAGAAAGCAAGAGCAUGUCUAUAAAUUUUGACAAAUGAUACCAUCAAAAUGAAGCAAAUGGCCAAAGGGAACUAAAUCCAUCUUUGGUACCCCGACCACCAUCAGCAAAUGCUUGCUUGGGCAGUAACAUUAGUUAGAAUCUAAUGUGAUUCAAUGAAGGGAAAACUGGUCACCAGAAACCUUGUUGGUCCCCCAGUAAAGACACCAUCACUUCUAAGUACCGGGAGGGCCAAAGGCACCCAGAAUUCUUGGGCCUUUUACAUCUUGGUGUGGGCCACCCUUCCCUCCUCCUCCACAACCCCUCCCCGCGUCAUGGCACAGAGCAGGUGCGCACUGAAGGUCCCCUGAGCAAGCGUCAGCACACACAGCAGGGGCAGCAGGGAAGAGAGGCCCGACGCAGGAAGAGUGCGCCGCCAUCCCGGGCCCCAACCCCACCGCCCCAUGUUGGUUCUCCCCACCUUCUAGGGGUCUGAUUCUGCCUGGUAUUUCUGCCAGAGCUAAACAGUCACAGCAGGGGCCCAGGCACAGGUCAUGAGGACAAAGGAAGCAGCAACUCUUUCUAUUUGCACAGCACUCUGCAGUCUGCAAAGCUCUUUCCCAUAAUUGCCUUUUAGAAGGUUAUCAUCACAACCUCUAGAGAUCAGGACACGGAGGCGCAGUGUUAGGGGCUAAAUUAUGGCCCCCUGGACCCAGUGUAAUCACAAGGAUUCUUAAAAGAUCCAAGAGGAAGGUAAGAGGGUCAGAGUGUGAGGUGAGACCCUGGAGGCAGAGGUCAGAGUGAAGUGACUGCUGGCUGUGAGGGUGGAGGACCGGGCCACGACCCAAGAACUGCAGACAGGCUCUAGAAGCUGGAAAAGACAAGAAAACAGAUUCUCCCGGGACCCUCCAGAAGGAACACAGCCCCGCCAACACCUAGAUGUCAGCCCGGUGAAACCCAUUCGGAUUUCCGAUCCCCAGAACUGUAAGGUAACAGAUUUGUGUUGUUGCCACUAAAUUUGUGGUAAUUUUUAAAGCACCCAUGGGAAACGGACACAGGAGGUAAUGCCCAAAAGCAAAGGCUAAAAGGGUGACAUGGUUUUCUGGGGAGCACUUCUGUGGGAGGAGAGGACUGGAGGGAGGGAGAGUGCUCACCAUCCUGUGCCUUUCAGUUCUGGAUAGUUCUUCAACUCUGUGCAUCUGUUUGAUAAACAUGUUUUAAAUUCAGCAGGGGAUCCCUCACAUCCUAGUCACCUAAAGUGAGGAAGAUGUGAGAAAACUGACCGUAGUGUAUCCAGGGACGGAGCCCAAACAAUUAAACAGUCAAUGGGGGUUCCACGUGCACCUACUGUGUGCCCCACACAAACAAGGUGAUACGAGGGAUUUUAAAAGAUGCCUGGGCCCCUGCAUCCAGGAGUCCAUCAGUCCCACUUGCCUCUCGCAUUACCGGACCCAGAGCUGGGCAGAGCUGCCCCGGGUACCAUGGGCCCCAAGGCCGUGGGCACUGCGGAGUCAGCAAAGUCAGGAUGGGUUGGUGAUGUCAAAAGGAAUUGUGGGGUCAUGCGGGGUCAAGCGGGCCUUAAAGAAUCAGAGACUUUUCAUGAGUGGCAGGUAGGAGGGGCCAAGAGCCUUGAAAGGGAGCUGAGAGCUGCGUGUGGUUCACUGUGGAGCCCACCUGGGGGCUCCAUUUGGAUGGGAGUCACCCCAAAGAUGAGAGGCACAGGAGUAUACAGCCCACAACUGCAGAUUUACGCACCUGUUGUAUCCAACCAGGUUUGCCAGGCACUCUUACAUAGCUCAGAUUCAUUAGGAGCAUGAACUUGGAGAGUUCCUGCCCCAGUGAGCAGGUAACACUUAGAGGGGCGCGAAGGAGCCCAUGGCUCUUCCUCUGGGCAUCUUGUCUUCCAUCGAUUCAUUCAACACUCUGUCAGCAUCUGCCACAGGCCAGGACCACUCCAGGCCCCGAGAAUCCUAUGAUGAUCAGGACCACCUGAGAGCCUUCCCUGGGGGCGCAGGUUCCAGUGAGAGGAUUGAUGCUGAACAGGUGCAUUUAGGAGGGCUUUGAGGAAGAGUAAAUCAGGGUGAGGGAUGAGAGAGUGUGCUGCUUCGGAUGGAGAAAUCAAGAAAUGGCUAAGAAGCUGACAUCUGGGAAGAGGGCGUGGCAUGGGGGCAGGACUGACCUUGAUUUACCUGUCUGGGCGUGACUGGUAAAUCUCCAGCAGAACCUAAUGAGUUUCCAUGGUUCAUCCUUUGCUUCUAUCUGUAAGACUAACAACAGUCCCAUUGCCACAGGAAACCAUUCCAGAUGUUUGCCCCCCAGUUGCAAAAGUUAAGGCUCAACCGCUCAGGGUACCAGCAUUUAUCAGCUGUUCACCACACUGAGCUGGGCGCCCUCCAAAGACAGACGCAGACACGUGGUGACCUUACAGAUCAGCACGGGGGCGGUCGGGGCGCCCUGCACGUGCUGUCAUCCCUCAGACCCUUCCCCAGGCCUCCGCGUUCUGUACACGGCCGUGGAGCCACGCACACAUCUAGACACGGUCAUCAGCAGGGUUUGGUGUCACUGUCUUGGGAAACAGUGCACGUCUCUGCGUCCCACUGAGGGCACGAGCCCUGUGGUUAUCUUUUGGCUGGGCCUUCGCCUUAUAAACACAGACACGUGCCUCCGCCACUCAAGCAGAAGGAAUGCGGGCAUGUGGCCUUGGAGGUCUGAAAUGAUCCUCUCCUGAAAUGAUCCAAGACUGCAGAGGUAAGACUGGGUUCAGGGUUCAGCUGCACACUUUGAGAUUUUGCAGUAGUGGUUCCUAAUCUUUGGUGUGCUUAAAAAUCAAUUAGAUGUGUGCUGAAAAUGCUGAUCCCUCGGCCCAGGGAUCCAGAGAUUCUGAUUCAGACGUUCAGUCUGAAGAAGAAGCUGGAAUUCUGGGAUUCACAGCCCUCCAGGAGCUUCGGAUGCUAGUGCUAGUCCUUAACCCAUGGGAAGGACCACAGCCGCAAUGCCCGUAUCUUCAAAACAGAAAAAAGAAAAAAAGAAGAAAAUGAGUGAUGACAGGACAAGGUGCUGUUUGGAUUUGUGAGUUAAUUUGUGUGUGACGUCAUACAAUUCCAUAGCAUUAAGUAACAUGCAGACUUUUAACAGAUCACCUUUACUGAAAAGAAUCAAAUUUCACAGAAUGAAGACUGUCCUGGAGAAUCUGGGGUGUGUGGUUGCUGUAGUAAUCGAUGCCUUCUAGAACAAAUCUGUGCUUGGCUAAUUACAGCCUUCUAUUUUUAAACUCAUCUACAUUCUUCUCCCCCAACCCCAACAUUGCUCACACGACUCCGGCAGUAAAAUACUGUUAUCUGUACAGCCCGUGCCCAUCUCAAAAUAACUUGUUUCCAGUCAGCCUCCGCCUGCUGUGGGAGGCAAGAGGCCGUGUUCCCCAACCACCUGGAAGGCCAAACGGACACCUCUGAAAGAACCCCAAACACUUAACAAAAUGGGAAGAAAACAGCAGCACAGACUUCCAGGGUUACCACUGCGUUGCAAGCACCCGCAGCCUGGGAGUCUGGGUGAGGCCGGCUGCGGGGUCAGGAUACCACCGCCCGGAGCCAGGCCUGGGCCCCACACUGCCUCCUGGGAAGCUCUUUGGUCACCAGCCAGAGAGGUGAUGGCAGAGCAGCGCUGGGGCCAACCCCACGGUCAGUCCAGCUCCUAUGGGACCAUCUCAGGUCAUCCCCGGGGCCGUGUCAAGGCCCAGUGCUCAAAGCCUGGGAAAAGGCUGCCAGCAGCCAUCCGCCCUCCGGAAGCCUGGCUGCCUGGGGGCGUGUUAACUCCAUCUGCAGGCCUGACUUCCCACAGCAGGGCUGUGGGUGCCGUGGAAACAGAUGAAGACCACCCAGUGACAGCAGGCAAGGGCUAUCAUUUGUCAGAACUUGCUGCAGCAAGAGGGGCAUCUGCACCAUCCCCGGCUGCCUUGGUUUGCUCUGGCUGUCGUAACAAGGCACCACGCGCUGCGGGCCUCAGACAGCAGAGAGGAAUUCUCUCACAGCUUUGGAGGCUGGAGUCUGAGAUCGGGGAAUCAGAAGAGCCAUGCUCCCCCUGGAAGGUGCUGGGGAGAAUCUGUCCCAGGCCUCCCUCCUAGCUUCCAGUGGCUUGUCGGUGACCUUUGGUGUUCCUUGACUUGUAAAUGCAUCCCUGGGUCUCUGUGCAGAUCUGUGUCCAAAUUUCUCCGUUUUAUAUGGACACCAGUCAUAUUGGAUGAGGGGCCCACCCUACUAGCUACUACGUCUUAGCUAAUUACAUCCACAGUGAUUCUAUUUCCAAAGAAGGGCACAUUCUGAGGUCCCGAGGAUCAGGACUUCAACACAGGAAUUCCUGGAGGACACAACUCAACGCAUAAGGCUGGCCUCUGGCCGAGACUCAAAAGCAAGCGAAGCAGGAAGUGGGAAAGCCUUUUGGUGAACAAGAGGGGCUUCAGGUGGGCCUGCUCCGGGCUUGUGCACAGGGAGGCAGGAAGCAGCAAACUAGAAGCGGGCAUCCUGUGUGGUUAGUUAUGAGAGCACAUACGCCUUUCUCUGGUUGGUCCUGAGCUGGAAGUCGGGCAGACGUUAGGGAAGUUGGCCGUUGCUGACUGAGUCCUGGCUGUUAUGGGCCGGUUGCUGCAGCGGCUCUGUUUUUAUGUAUGUAUGGUCUCUCCAUUGUAUGUUCAAUCUCUCAGUGCAAAUGACACCUCCUGAUGUUCUCAGGGUGCUUCUGGGGCUGGAAUUGGGGGCAGGUGGUCCAGAAGACCCAGCCCUGGAAGGACUCAGUGCCUCCAAGAGGAGGCCCAGGACGGGCAACCUCACAGGGCAGAUCCACACAGACCCGUGGGUCCCCUUCUGCAACCGCCUCUGUUGACGCCCACCAGGCUGAGCACAGACGCGCAGUGGGAAAGUGUGGGUACUUUGACUCUAGAGCCGCCGUCCUCUGGCUUUUUGGUUUAGCUCCCCUUGAAGGGCCCCAAAGAGCUUUUGCUGGGGAGAAAAGCUAUCAAUAUUUACCACAUUAGAACAAAGUGAUUUUUAAAAUAUCUAAUCCAUUACAUGUUCAUGUAAAUAACAUAAUUUUAUGAAAAAUAACUAUACUUUCCAGAAGAAAAAAUUGCAAGUGUGGCAUUAUUUUAAAUUUUUGCAGAUCUCCUGAAUGUCUAGCUGAAUAGAAGCCAGCUGGCAUCUCGUGCUUCUGCAUUCAGUCUGUUGGGGUCGCACACAUCAUGUAGCCUCUGGAAAACCCACACCACACUCACGAGAGUGAACAGAAGCUAAAAGCAUGGUAGAAUUACUGGGGAAAAUAGUUUUGACCUUGCAGACCCUCUGCAGUAUCUCAGGGACCCCCGGGCAUCCCCAGACCACCGCCAGAGACUCUUGCUUGUGGACCGAGGCUUGCGGACCCGCAGCGAGUCUGGGGCUUGCCGGGAUGUGGGAGGGAGGGGAUUAGUGACCACCCUGGUCAAACAGAAGCAUCUCACAAGUUAGAAAAGGCCCCAAGCCUGAGUGAAAAGAUAAGAAAUUUAAGACUGGGGUCAAAGUCAAGUGCUUUCAGUAUCUUCACCUCCCACCUGAAGAGGCAAAGGCAAAAAAAGUAGAAAUGGGGGGCAAAAAAUCCUUAUUGCUUGUUCCGUCUUUCCUCCACUAGUUCCAAGAUUAACAAUUGUUCCUUAGUGCCCGAGGGGUAUUGGUUCCAGGACCCACCCCCCAUCCCAGGACACCAGAAUCCCAAGAUGCUCAAAAAGUUUCAUGCAAAAUGACAUGGUAUUUGCAUAUAACCAGCACAUAUCCUCCCACAUACUUUAAAUCAUCUCUGGAUUACUUAUAAUACUGAAUACAACGUAAAUGCUGUGUUAAUAGUUGUAAAUACAGUGUAAAUGCUAUGUAAAUAGUUGUUGGUAUGUGGCAAAUUCAAGUUUUGCUUUUUGGAACUUUCUGGAACUCUUAUUUUCCAAAUAUUUUCUAUCCGAGGUUGGUGAAUCCAUGGGUGCAGAACCCUCAGAUGCGGAGGGCUGACCAUACAUGCCAUUAGAAACUGAUUGAACUGGUAGAUGCUGGGGAGCAUUAGCGUCUCCCCAGAACAGAGUCCUCAUUAGACCCACCCCAGCCAGGGGAGCCCAGGCGGGGAGCAGAGGGCAGCCACGGAGUGAUGGCGUGGGAGCUUCUUGCCUCUCCAGUCCUCUCCUCUCUCAGUUCCUCCCGCUCCCCUUUGUGUCUAACCACUCUGGGCUGCUUCUCCCUCCUCCUUCCCCCUGUGACGCAGGCGAAGCCUGAAGUACAGUUUACAUAACAUUUAAGAUGGAAGAAGUAGCUGGCUGGCCACUUACUAGAGUAAAUUAAGACUAAUAGUGAAAAAGGUAGAAAAGAAAGACCAAAGAUCAAAAGGUAAAAAGAAAACAAAAAAUUUUUAAUUAAAACUUUAAAAAACACACAAUUGCUGGAAUUCUAAUCCCUACUUCAUAUUGUAUCAUCCAAUGGAAGAGAGAGGGUCCUUCUUAUUUGUGUGUGUGUGUGUGUGUGUGUGUGUGUGUAUUUUUAUUGAAGUACAGUGUACAAUGUUGUGUCAAUUUCUGGUGUACAGCAUAAUGCAUGAACACACAUAUACUCGUUUUCAUGUUCUUUUCACCCUAAGUUACUACAAGAUAUUGAAUAUAGUUCCCUGUGCUAUACAGUAUAAGCUUGUUGUUUAUCUGUUUUAUAUGUAUAUUAGCUAGUAUCUGCAAAUCUCGAACUCCCAAUUUAUCCCUCUCUAGGCAGAACAAGGAGAGACUGCCUCCCAGUCCACAAGCCCAGGAAGGUCUCUCUGCCUCUCCUGGGUUCUGACUCGUUUACGUGUCCUUCCUUGGACCGGUUAUUGGUGGCCAGAGACGUGGGUUCCCUGACUGACGUAGGGAGCCUCCCCGGGAGCUGAGGCUGGGUUUCAGUCUCAUCAAAUCAUGAGGCUAAGAAUGCGGAGGGAAACAAAGUGGCUUAUAAAAAAGAAAGACUAAUUCAUGAAACUAAUUCAUGUUCAUGAAAGGAGGGGGCUUUAAAAAAAAAAAGAGUAAUGCCCUUCUUUAAAAUGGUUGAUUCUAUGUAAUGUGAAUUUUGCUUUAUUUAAAUAAUAAUAAUACCCUUAUUUUAAGUCAUGUGCAAUCUUUUAACUUUUUA